rnacentral:rRNA from 1 species
UACGGGGGGAGCAAGCGUUGUUCGGAUUUACUGGGCGUAAAGGGUGCGUAGGCGGCUUUGUAAGUCAGUGGUGAAAUAUGGCAGCUCAACUGUCAGGGUGCCAUUGAUACUGCGGAGCUUGAGUACAGAUGAGGUAGGCGGAAUUGACGGUGUAGCGGUGAAAUGCUUAGAUAUCGUCAAGAACACCGAUAGCGAAGGCAGCUUACUAGGCUGUAACUGACGCUGAGGCACGAAAGUGUGGGGAUCAAACAGG